UACGGGGGGGGCAAGCGUUGUUCGGAAUUACUGGGCGGAAAGGGCUCGUAGGUGGCCAACUAAGUCAGACGUGAAAUCCCUCGGCUUAACCGGGGAACUGCGUCUGAUACUGGAUGGCUUGAGGUUGGGAGAGGGAUGCGGAAUUCCAGGUGUAGCGGUGAAAUGCGUAGAUAUCUGGAGGAACACCGGUGGCGAAGGCGGCAUCCUGGACCAAUUCUGACGCUGAGGAGCGAAAGCCAGGGGAGAAAACGGG
rnacentral:rRNA from 1 species